rnacentral:lncRNA from 1 species
CAAAAAUAAAAAUAAUUAUUUAUCCGAUAUAUAAUCUAGAAAAGGAAAGGCCAUUUCCUUUGAAGAUCAGUUCAACGUAUAUAUGUUUCACAACACAAUACACUUUACAUUGUGUACACAAGAUCAAUAAAGACUGACAAACAGCUACUCCUAGAACAUAAAAGAAGCACAAAACAAGCUAGUUCAUGUUCAUCGAUUACAAAAGCAACCACAGCUUUCCCUUUCGCUAACUCCAGCCACUGCUUCUAACUAUGCAACCACUGUUAGAUAUUGUUGGUUUCAAACUCAUUGGUUCAAUUAUUUUUUUUCUUUUUUCUUAUUCUCUUCUCAGUAUCUUUCCCAAGUUAUCCCUUUGACAUCGUCCUUUCUCUCUCAAGUGAUCUUCCUCCACGGUAUGAACACUGAACAGGAACGAUCAGCUUCUGUACCAGAUUUACGACUUCGCCACCGUCGCCGCCUGUUUUCCCCGCUGCGCUGAGGGAAACCGACGGUUAAUGGCUGCAACGUCCUCCGAUUUGUACGUCUUGGGUUUCUUCACCAUAGACCAUUUGCGAACAAGUUCACUAUAGAAGUGAUCUUAUUAUGUAUUCUAUUGAUAAACAAAUUAAAUUUUCUUGAUGUGAGUGAGGCAGAAUCGAGAAAUUCUAUAUGUUGUCUUGAAUGCCAAGACACAAAAUGGAAAAAGUCUAACUGAUAUAAUUUUUUUUAGGUAAAUUAAGUUUUUAGUUUCUCAAAUUGUUUACCUUUUACUUUUUAA